UACGAAGGGGGCUAGCGUUGCUCGGAAUCACUGGGCGUAAAGCGCACGUAGGCGGCUUUUUAAGUCAGGGGUGAAAUCCUGGAGCUCAACUCCAGAACUGCCUUUGAUACUGGGAAGCUUGAGUCCGGAAGAGGAGAGUGGAAUUCCUGGUGUAGCGGUGAAAUGCGCAGAUAUCAGGAGGAACACCCGUGGCGAAAGCGGCUCUCUGGGACGGUACUGACGCUGAGACGCGAAAGCGUGGGGAGCAAACAGG
rnacentral:rRNA from 1 species